UACGGAGGGUGCGAGCGUUGUCCGGAAUCACUGGGCGUAAAGGGCGCGUAGGCGGCCUGAUAAGUAGGGGGUGAAAUCCUGCGGCUUAACCGCAGGGCUGCCUUCUAAACUGUCAGGCUAGAGCACAGUAGAGGCAGGUGGAAUUCCCGGUGUAGCGGUGGAAUGCGUAGAGAUCGGGAAGAACAUCAGUGGCGAAGGCGGCGACCUGGGUAGAUACUGACGCUGAGGCGCGAAAGCGUGGGGAGCAAACAGG
rnacentral:rRNA from 1 species